UAAGACAGAGGAGCCAAGCGUUGUCCGGACUUACUGGGCGUAAAGCGCACGCAGGCGGCCGUGCACGUGGGGUGUGAAAGCCGGUGGCUUAACUGCCGGAGGCCAUCCCAUACGGCGCGGCUGGAGCCAUGCAGAGGCCAGCGGAAUUGCCGGUGUAGUGGUGAAAUGCGUAGAGAUCGGCAGGAACACCCAGGGGGAAACCAGCUGGCUGGGCAUGUGCUGACGCUCAGGUGCGAAAGCGUGGGGAGCGAACCGGAUUAGAUACCCGGGUAGUCCACGCGGUAAACGAUGGACACUCGGCAUCUGGUGCCGUUACUACGGCGCUGGGUGCCCAAGCUAACGCGGAAGUGUCCCGCCUGGGAACUACGAGCGCAAGCUUA
rnacentral:rRNA from 1 species